UGGACCAAUGAUGAUGACUGAUAUCGUAUGAGUCAUGGAUGAUGAAUACUACGUGUCUGAAACUCAGGUUCAG
ensembl:snoRNA